rnacentral:rRNA from 1 species
GGGCUCACACAAGCGGUGGAGCAUGUGGCUUAAUUCGAGGCUACGCGAAGAACCUUAUCCUGGACUUGACAUGUGCGAAAGCGCUGGGAGGUAGGACCCGGAAACGGGAACGAACGGUAUCCAAUCCGGAACCCAGUACAGGUGCUGCAUGGCUGUCGUCAGCUCGUGUCGUGAGAUGUCGGGUUAAGUCCCAUAACGAGCGAAACCCCUGCCCUUAGUUGCUAGGCGCAAGCCGAGGACUCUAGGGGGACUGCCGGUGUCAAACCGGAGGAAGGUGGGGAUGACGUCAAGUCCUCAUGGCCUUUAUGUCCAGGGCUGCACACGUGCUACAAUGGCGUGAACAAAGGGACGCAAACGCGCGAGCGGGAGCAAAUCCCAAAAAACACGCCCCAGUUCAGAUCGCAGGCUGCAACUCGCCUGCGUGAAGUUGGAAUCGCUAGUAAUCGCGGGUCAGCAACACCGCGGUGAAUGUGUUCCUGAGCCUU